CAGAAGUAGGAUUUGAAACCACGUUUUGCUGACUCUAGGGCCACUUCUCUACCCGCUUUGCUACAUUGCUUUUCGAGGCAUUUUAUAACAUAAUUUAAUCAGAAGGUUAGCAAUAAAUCAAUGAAAAAGAUGUGUUUCCCUAGCCUGUGACAAAACCAGUUUCUGUGCCAACUCCCUAGUAGUAGGAAGGGCAAAAUUCUGGAACAGACACCUUAUUCCAGGCCUAAGAGGUCAAAGGUAAACAAACAAACCAGGGCUUUUUCACUUACAAAUCUAUCCUAUGCCCUAUCAUCAUCCCCAACCUUUAGAUUCAGCUUCAUGGUAAUACCUGCAGGAACUCAAGAGCUCUAUUCUUCUCUCCUGAUCUAGCAUGGUUUAUACAAGCAGGACAGCAUCUGGCAUUAACUUUGCUCCCAGGCAGUCAGAUUUCCAGUCUCAGAUUUCCAGCUCCCCUUCUCAUCUGACUAAGAGUUCAAGAUCAGACCCUUUUGAAAUCUCUUGCUUCCUGCAUGUGGUGGCCACAGGUACCUUUUCAUCUAUUAUCAAGCUUAGAGCUCUGUAUGAUUCAGUCAGGGUGCCACACUGACACUGCUUCUAAUAAUAACUACCAUUUAUAUAGUGUUUUAAAGCUUGCAAAGCACUUUACAAGUGUUAUCUCAGUUGUUAUCUUCUCCAAAUAACCCUGGAAGGUAGGUGCUAUUAUUAUCCCCAUUUUACAGUUAAGGAAACUGAAGCAGACUGAGGUUAAAUGAUUUGCCCAGAGUGACACUGAGUAUAAGGCAGGAUGAUGAAUUCAGGUCUUCCUGACUCCAA
rnacentral:lncRNA from 1 species